rnacentral:rRNA from 1 species
CCUACGGGGGGCUGCAGUGGGGAAUAUUGCACAAUGGGCGCAAGCCUGAUGCAGCCAUGCCGCGUGUGUGAAGAAGGCCUUCGGGUUGUAAAGCACUUUCAGCGGGGAGGAAGGCGGUGAGGUUAAUAACCUCAUCGAUUGACGUUACCCGCAGAAGAAGCACCGGCUAACUCCGAGCCAGCAGCCGCGGUAAUACGGAGGGUGCAAGCGUUAAUCGGAAUUACUGGGCGUAAAGCGCACGCAGGCGGUCUGUCAAGUCGGAUGUGAAAUCCCCGGGCUCAACCUGGGAACUGCAUUCGAAACUGGCGGGCUAGAGUCUUGUAGAGGGGGGUAGAAUUCCAGGUGUAGCGGUGAAAUGCGUAGAGAUCUGGAGGAAUACCGGUGGCGAAGGCGGCCCCCUGGAUAAAGACUGACGCUCAGGUGCGAAAGCGUGGGGAGCAAACAGGAUUAGAUACCCGUGUAGUC